GACGAACGCUGGCGGCGUGCUUAACACAUGCAAGCCGAACGGACAGACAGAGAGCUUGCUCUCUUGAAGUUAGUGGCGAACGGGUGAGUAACGCGUAAUCAACCUGCCCUUCAGAGGGGGAUAACAACGGGAAACCGUUGCUAAUACCGCGUACGAUUCAUGAACGGCAUCGUUUAUGAAUGAAAGGUGGCCUCUAUGUAUAAGCUAUCGCUGAAGGAGGGGAUUGCGUCUGAUUAGCUAGUUGGGGGGGUAACGGCCCGCCAAGGCAAUGAUCAGUAGCCGGUCUGAGAGGAUGAACGGCCACAUUGGGACUGAGACACGGCCCAAACUCCUACGGGAGGCAGCAGUGGGGAAUCUUCCGCAAUGGACGAAAGUCUGACGGAGCAACGCCGCGUGAGUGAUGGAGGUCUUCGGAUUGUAAAGCUCUGUUAAUCGGGACGAAAGAGUUCUGCGUGAAUAAUGCAGAAAAGUGACGGUACCGGAAUAGAAAGCCACGGCUAACUACGUGCCAGCCGCCGCGGUAA
rnacentral:rRNA from 1 species